rnacentral:ncRNA from 1 species
GCAGAGUAGAAGCCGCGCGUAAAGUGUUGGAGGAUGGGACGUUGCCUCCAGACGAAAGAGAUAAUCUGCGAUGCGGUUUCGCGUCCGCU